rnacentral:lncRNA from 1 species
GGAACACUCUGUUCUUAAGGGUUUAGCCUGGUGAAAAGAAGAUACGGUAAUAAAUCAAGGCUAAAAUAUCAUAUGUUUAAUGCAAUGAAAUGUAUGGAGAGAAGUAAAGGGCCACGUGAGGAAAGAGUAAAUGCUCUCUGCAUGAGUGGAAAGUUUCAUCAAGAAGACACAGAGGGAAACCAUGGCAGGAAACUAUUCAGCAGGGAAGAUAAAGGGAAAUGAUGCUUUAAGUUUCCUUGACCCACAAACAGAAAGAAAAGCCAUUAUUAACUGAAACCAGGAGCAAGUGUAAGGCAGAGGACAAUCACGCUCUGAAUCACCCAUUGUGCUUGCUCAUAGGAACCAAGGCAGAGCAUUGCCAGAUGGCCACACCCCAGAACCAGUCCAAACCAGAAAGGUCCAAGAUGGCAAUGGAGUGCUGUGCACAAAAGGAAACGUGCAAAAGGUCUCCAGCUUCAAGAUAUAAAGGAGAGCUCUUUUCGUGCCUAGCGCAACCAUGGCUCAUGGUCCCAAGAAACAUCUGAAGUGAGCA